UCUUGGGCUCCUUUCGGUGCUAUGUCCAGGUUCACUGAUACUGGACAUUUCAUCUAAACACCCACACCCACAGCAGGCGAACAACCAGAGCUACGAGUAUAUGGCCGGGGCCAAUGACUUCGUGGAUAAAUACGUAUAAGGCUUACCAUUAUUACUGCAAUGUUGAUCAGAAUAAUUGUAUCGUUUUUCUCUAGGCGCCAUCUGAACGGCCUUGUCGGGCUACUGCUCGCUGCAGCGCUCAUUAGAAGGAUCGAGACUGUGAAGUGAAUGAGCUCUCAGCAAGUGGUAGUAAACAGCGCGAGCUCCUACGCGUCGUCCAUAAUCGCAUUACGGAAAGUCAAUUUUGCCGAUCCCAGAGAGCUGCAGUUGUUUUUAACGAACGCAAAGGCUGAAUAGUGAUAGUUACAAUCAUACGUCCAUGCUUUGAUAUGUAGGUGAUCGCCUUACUUAUAUUAUCUAGCUUUGUCCUAGUUGUGAGUUUGUUGGCGAUCACAUGGUGAGAAAAAAUCCCUCAAGAAUUCGAAAUUAUGCUUGUGCAACAGAAUUACCUGACGAGUGUUCGCCAAUCUUCAAGGACAAGAUUUCUAACACGUUGGUUAGAAUGAAAGCAUUAAACUCUUGCACGGUUCUUCUCAAGUUUCUCUUCUUGUCCAAGUUAAGUUCUCAAGAAAACGGCAAGUACAUCUCUACUUCGUUAUUUGGUCGUUUCCACAAGCUUCGCUAACUUCUAAGCCAAUCCUGGAGACUUGCAAAGCCUCACAACGUUCAGCUAUGGAGCUCGUUUGGAAGAUUCAUAGGCGUGCACAUGGUGAACGACCAUGGCCUACAUGAAUUAAUGGCUCCGGAAGAAUAAACGAAUAAUCCUAUUGUGUCGUGAGCGUUGUCGUACGAAUUUCGGAUGCGAACGUUUUUACGUCGACGCAAUUUGCAUUAAGAAGGACAGCGACGUUAAACACAAAAACAGGAAUAGCGCCAGUGUUCCUACGACGCACUUACAGCUAAUUUUAAAGCAAAAUUUAUAUUUAAACAUUUUCAGUGUUCGGUACUACGUACGGUACUGCAUCUAGGUCACCUAAAAUGCGCCUAACUUAAAUAAGUAAAUAGACCUGGACACCGCACCAU